UUGACAACAGGAACAUUAAUAAAGUAUUUUCAAAUUUAGCUUUGAAUUAAUUAAAAGUUUUAAAAAUUAAAAAUACUAAUAAAUUAUUCUGAAUAUUAAAAUGUUUACAACUUAAAUAAUUUGAUUCUUCAUAACUAAAAACCUUAUUAUUGUGUUAACAUGUUAUUACUAUCACCUAUUUAAACCAGUUUAAGUUUUUAAUUUUUAUAUGUCAUUCGUCCAACAUAAAUGAUACCAGUAUAAGUGCUCUUGUUCGCGCGUCAAGGAGCUGAAAAGGAUAUGUGACAUUUUGAAAAUAAUGAGAUGCGUGCCAAACUUUCAAUUAAUAAUAGUUAAAAUUUUUAAUAACGUUCAAAUGUCAAAGAACGAAGGUAGAUAAGAAUAUUAACGGAAUAUCUAAAGAACCUGAUCAAAUUGAAAGUGCAACGAUCAUCUUCGCACUGAAACAUCAGCCUUGACUACUACUGGCUAAAUACAUACAAACACUAGUUAAUAGAAAUAUGCUGUCCAAUCCUUUUUGCCCAAGAUGAUUAUCAGAAUUGUUUGUAUGUUUUCCUUUAUUGUUCAAUUCCUCAAAUCCAUUGAAAAAUGCACCAUGUAAACGAAAAAGACAACAAUAAUAGUAAUGUUUCCAACUAUACUCAACUAGAAGUGGGAUUAAAUAUUGAGCAUUUCAUUGAAAAUAUUUGAAAGGAUUAAAUACUUUUGUUGUAGUAGGUAAUCCUGGUGCUUUUAUAUAAAUAUAAAGUUUAUUAAAUAAACCAACUGAAAAAUUUGUAUUAUGCUCAUUUGUUUCUUAGAAUAUUUAGUGUAUUACCCACGUUCGGUUGCGAUGUCUUGGUAAUGAAAAUUAUAAAUAAAAGAUUUGUAGAACAUUGUGUUUUAAAUUUAAGUAACGACAAUGUAUAGUUGACUAAUUUUGAUUAUCAUUCAAGUAUUAAGGAGUUUCCAACUCUACCUAGGGCAGUAGCAAAGGCUGACAAAAGGUACCUACGCCUCGGGCAAAAAUUUUGAAGGAGCGUAUAAUUUAAGAAAUUAGAAAUAUAUUGAUAUAUAAAUAUUAAAUUUAUUGUAAAAAUAGCGGCAUAUCGUUUCAUUAAAUGAUGUUUUCAGUCAAAUCCGCCUGACUAGGUCCGUUGGUCUAUAGUUUACACCUUUUUAACACAUGAAAAAAAAAAAUUGUUUAUAAAAUAAUCUGUUGUCGUCGAUUAACUGUCACACCUGACCCAUAUACACCAGAGUGCCCAGAUAAUGUCAUACGAAGGACGCAUUUUGAAGUUUCUCUCCGGAUGCAAUAUAUGGUUGUUAUGGGCCUGAUUCUACUUUUACAAACUCAAACGGUUUACAAUGGUGGAAUGCAUUAUGGUGAUCAUACAUUUAUCAAAUGUGGACGAUGGCUGACAAUGAUGAUGACUCUGGAGUAAAGAUGGACAAAGACGUCAUACUAUUCACAAUAAUUUGGAACACAACUAAGAGCUGAAAACCAUUUGGAGGUGAUAGGAUAUAUUUCCGAAAUAGUGUGGUCAUGAAUCACUUAAACCUAAUUGUAGUAGAUCUUUGGCUUACAGACGAGGCAUUUCAUAGAAAAUUAAAAAUUAGUUAGUCAUAUUUUUUUAAUAAUUAAUUUUUUUUAAAUAAUAGUUUGUUAAAUCGUAAUUUUAUCAAAAAUUAAGAUGUUUUCUUAAAAUAUGAAAAAAACAUGAUAUAAC